GACGAACGCUGACGGCGUGCUUAACACAUGCACGUCGAAGGGAGUGGCGAACGGGUGAGUCACACGUGAGUAACCUGCCCUUUUCUUUGGGAUAAGCCUGGGAAACUGGGUCUAAUACUGGCUGGAUUGGGAUGGGCUCGCGGCUUAUCGGCUUGUUGGUGGGGUGAUGGCUUACCAAGGCUUUGACGGGUAGCCGGCCUGAGAGGGUGGUCGGUAACACUGGGACUGAGAGACGGCCCAGACGCCUACGGGAGGCAGCAGUGGGGGGUAUUGGACAAUGGACGCAAGGCUGAUGCAGCGACGACGUGUGGGGGAUGAAGGCCUGCGGGUUGUAAACUCCUUUCGCCCGCGGAAUGGUAGUGGGUAAAGAAGCGCCGGCUAACUACGUGCCAGCAGCCGCGGUAAUUC
rnacentral:rRNA from 1 species